rnacentral:misc_RNA from 1 species
GGCCAGAUUGCCCUGUUUCUCCCUUGGCAGGUGAUUUUCCUUAAUUUGGGCAUCAAUAGCAGAUGUAGAAGUUUGGGCUGCAAUGGCUGUCUGGUCAAUUAGCAGCCCAUUUGUGUCCUUUAGUGAAGUAUAAGACAACUGCUCCAUAUUUCUUUGAUUAACAUGCUGAGAAUUCAUAUUAAUAUCUCCCAAUGGUUCAACUCCCCCAUGAGUGCCACUCUCUGGAUGUGAACGGGAAUAAUAACUCAUUGAGUUAAGCAUAGGUGCUGAAGUAGAAUGGACAG